rnacentral:tRNA from 1 species
GGGGAUUUAGCUCAGAGGUAGAGCGCUUGCCUAGCAAGCGCAAGGCCCUGGGUUGGAUCCCCAGCUCCG